UAAAGCGAGUCCUUUAUCUGCUCCGUUCUCGGGGAGGAAGGGGGAGUCGCUGCGCCUCCAGACUGUAUAACGUGAGAUUAUCCUGAUGAAAGCUUUAUGAUGUUUGCUCAAAUAAAAGCUGCGUUUUGUAAAUAGGCGCUAAUUAAGCACGUUGAGAACGGAGGGUGCGCUCCCCCGGCGCCACCGCCCGGUCGCCAGCGCCGGGACUCGAGGGCGCGCCGCGCUCCCCGUGGCCUCCUGCAGGAUGGAUUCUCUGAAGACGGCGCCCCGGGUCUCGACAAUGACACGUCUAGUCCGCAGAAGGAACCCUCCCGGCGAAGGAGGUGGCCCUCGGCGGCGGGAGGCGCUCCGGCAGCUCGCCUGGACACGGCGCGAGACGCACCUGGCGCGAGGCAGACGCAGGAACUCAGGACUCAAAGGUUUUCAAGUUCUGUGCCCGGGGUGAAUUGGCAGCUGAAAGGGGCCGCGGCAGAGGUGGGGCCUCCGUGGCGGCGUCCAUUGUCAUCGAGGCAAGGAGACGGAAUGGCUCUGUAUGUAGGUCAGCGACCCCCUCUCUCCUGCGAGGGAGCAAAAUUAAGGAUGACCUAAAAUCGACUCGGGCUGAAGAGACUCAGAGAAAGGCGUUCUCUCUGGCCCAGGUGAUCCUGUCUGCACGCCUUGAAGUCGGCUGUCCUCCAAGACUAACUUUAGGGGGACUGUUCAGAGUCGGGGUGGCCUCCGCCAGCCCUGCCGACAUCUAUUAACUUUUCAUCCUGGCGGCGGAGCCUGUGUGACUCUGGCGGGUGUCGGUGGGAGCCCCCCCUGCCCCGUGCCCCCAUCCUAAUCGCGCCCCGGAGGACCUUCGGGGCUCACUGGGCUGUUAUUCAUCACUUGUCUUAAACUUUCGCCCCAUAACCAGGAUUUAAAUAAGUCAAAGCAAAUUAAAUUGCCAGGGAGAAAGGUUCGCCUAGAGAGACAAGAGCAAACGAGAAGAAAAAGAGGAGGAAGGGCAAGGCGCCAGAAAGGAAACGCGUCUUAAAAGCGCUAAUACAAAGACAUGGCAAAGUUCUUAGAAAACUGUUUCCCUCCGUUUCCAGAAGCCAGAGGGAGCCGGGAAAUGGUCUCGCACAGGACCCGCCUGCGAGCCGUGGUGGGUCCUCCUGCUCCCCCCUCCCUGGGCCGUUCCCGUGGGCCCGGGGACGGGUCCUCAGGGGGCCUGGCCCGACACACAGGAUUUUGUGCCCUGUGGAGACUCUGAUUCUCGUUUCUCACUCACAGGCACGAUUGCUGGGGUCAGGGAAGCGGAGGGGGCUCCGGGUGUGCGGCUGUCUGUUCUCUCAGCCCUCGCUCCAGCGCUCGGGGUCCCGGGUGAUGCUCAGGGAACCAGGCCCGGGGAUUGAACCCGGGCCUGCCUCAUGCGAAGCAAAAACUUCAGCCCUUUUUAAAUUUGUUUGCAGGGAGGGGGAUUCUCAGUCAGUGGUCAGGAGGACGAGGGACAGUCCUAGCUGUCGCCACUGAGCCGGGGGGUCAGUCUGAGGACCCCAGAGCCUGGUGCUGCUUGGACCCCCUGACGUGGGACUAGUGAGUCACUCUGCGGUCAGUGCUCAGGGGACCGUGUGGUUCUGGGGACUGGCCGGGGACGGCGUGCAGAGCACAGGCCCUGCCUAACUCCGCCCCAGGCUCCAGCCUCUCCUGCCAUGUCCCCAACCCCAACCGCUUAUCUUAUUUUAUUUUUGGAAUUUUCGCUUAUUAAGAACUGUGGUUUAGAAAGUUGUUGCUAGUUGAGGAUAGGCAUGUAAUAUUCCAACACCAUCCCACCACCAGUGUGGUGUCCACUUCCCUCCACUAGUGUCCCUACAUCCCUCCCCACCUCACCCCCAACCCAACCCAUCCCCACCCGGCCACUUGGCAGGCACAUGACAAAGUUUGGUGGUCGCUGCUUAGAUCUCACGCUUUCGGUCGUCCAACUUGGAUCUUAAGCUCCUUUUUGCAAAGAAAGCAGAGAUUUCCCCGACUGUGCUCUCUCCGGUAUACCCUGCAGUACCCUCAGUUACUCUAGCAUGCCGGUCGGAGUGACAGGAACACUGAUGUGAUGCCAGGAAUGAAACAGGCUUAGGGUGGGGCUCACUCUUUCCCCAGUAAACCCACACUUGGCCCGGGAUUCACUUCCAGCCGUGUUGGGUUUGGAGCACUUAACUUUGAGCUCAGAGGGCUGGAGAGAUAGUUCAGCACACAGGAUUCCUGCCUCGCAGACCCAGGUUCAAGCCCCAGAACCACUUACACCCCAGGGCAUUGGACUCUGGGGACAGAGCCAGGAGUAAGCCCUGGAAACAGCUGGCUAUAGCCCCCAAACAAAAUUAACUUGGA